AGUGAACGCUGGCGGUAGGCCUAACACAUGCAAGUCGAACGGCAGCACAGUAAUAGCUUGCUCUUACGGGUGGCGAGUGGCGGACGGGUGAGGAAUACAUCGGAAUCUACUUUUUCGUGGGGGAUAACGUAGGGAAACUUACGCUAAUACCGCAUACGACCUACGGGUGAAAGCAGGGGAUCUUCGGACCUUGCGCGAUUGAAUGAGCCGAUGUCGGAUUAGCUAGUUGGCGGGGUAAAGGCCCACCAAGGCGACGAUCCGUAGCUGGUCUGAGAGGAUGAUCAGCCACACUGGAACUGAGACACGGUCCAGACUCCUACGGGAGGCAGCAGUGGGGAAUAUUGGACAAUGGGCGCAAGCCUGAUCCAGCCAUACCACGUGGGUGAAGAAGGCCUUCGGGUUGUAAAGCCCUUUUGUUGGGAAAGAAAAGCAGCAGGUUAAUACCCCGCUGUUCUGACGGUACCCAAAGAAUAAGCACCGGCUAACUUCGUG
rnacentral:rRNA from 1 species